rnacentral:rRNA from 1 species
CACGGAGUUAGCCGAUCCUUAUUCUUUAGGUACAUUCAGCUCCUUGCACGUAAGAAGGUUUAUUCCCUAACAAAAGCAGUUUACAACCCAUAGGGCAGUCAUCCUGCACGCGGCAUGGCUGGUUCAGGCUUGCGCCCAUUGACCAAUAUUCCUUACUGCUGCCUCCCGUAGGAGUCUGGUCCGUGUCUCAGUACCAGUGUGGGGGAUUCUCCUCUCAGAGCCCCUAGACAUCGUCGCCUUGGUAAGCCGUUACCUUACCAACUAGCUAAUGUCACGCGAGCCCAUCCAUAUCCUAUAAAUAUUUAAAUGUGAUAACAUGUGUUACUACAUUGUUAUGCGGUGUUAAUCCGAAUUUCUUCGGGCUAUCCCCCUGAUAUGGGUAAGUUGCUCACGCGUUACGCACCCGUGCGCCACUCUCAAAUCGGGUAGCAAGCUACCCUCAGAUCCCGUUCGACUUGCAUGUAUUAGGCCUGCCGCUAGCGUUCAUCCUGAGCCA